UUGGGUUGGGCCAGUCUCGGCUAACCAACUGGAUAAAUUCAUUGGACCAUUACAUGUGAGGGCUUAGUAGCUUUGGUCGGAACCUGUGUUACUAAGGGCUUAUUGGAUACAGGUGAAGAAGUAAAAAUAUAUUUAUUAAAAGGUAAACUCAAAAAUAGUCACUUUUGUUUGUUUCAGAUUACUUUUAGUUUACUUAAGUUAUUGUUUUAUUACAAAGUGAUCACUCUACCGUUAAGCUUCGUUACCUCUCUAACGGUGGUCCUAUGUGGCAGUCCAAAUUAAAUUUAUUUAUUUAAAAACCUAUUUUAAUCCUAACAACUGGAUAUUCAAGUUGGCAUUUAAAAC
rnacentral:lncRNA from 1 species